UACGGAAGGCAGCAGUGGGGAAUAUUGCACAAUGGGCGAAAGCCUGAUGCAGCUAUGCCGCGUGUAUGAAGAAGGCCUUAGGGUUGUAAAGUACUUUCAUCGGGGAGGAAAAACAAAACUAAUAAUUUUAUUUCUUGACGUUACCCGAAAAAGAAGCACCGGCUAACUCCGUGCCAGCAGCCGCGGUAAUACGGAGGGUGCUAGCGUUAAUCAGAAUUACUGGGCGUAAAGAGCACGUAGGUGGUUUUUUUAAGUCAGAUGUGAAAUCCCUGGGCUUAACCUAGGAACUGCAUUUUGAAACUGAAAUACUAGAGUAUCGUAGAGGGAGGUAGAAUUCUAGGUGUAGCGGUGAAAUGCGUAGAUAUCUGGAGGAAUACCUGUGGCGAAAGCGGCCUCCUAAACGAAUACUGACACUGAGGUGCGAAAGCGGUGGGGAGCAAACAGGGAUUAGAUACC
rnacentral:rRNA from 1 species